rnacentral:sRNA from 1 species
AAAAAAAAUCAUAAAUUAAAUAGUCUUUUGAGUCAACACUUUUAGGUUUCUCUCUUUGCAUUUGCAUAUAUUCAUAUUAGAGAAAGGAUCGUAUAUUGAACUUUUUGGUAUAUCUAACAUCUCAAAAGAUCACUAUUUAACAAAAGAUACAUGUCAAUAUUAAUGUUACCAAUUUAUCAUAAACAUACAAAAAAACCAUAUCAUGUAAACAAAA